GCAUUUUGCUAGGGGAGCCCAGGGCUGAGAAAUCACAUUGCGUGAUGACCCUUACUACUUGAACCGGUUAGUACCGGCGGAAGGAAGCAGUACCAGAAUGGU
rnacentral:ncRNA from 2 species